UACGGGGGGGGCAAGCGUUGUUCGGAAUUACUGGGCGUAAAGGGCGCGUAGGCGGUUUGCUAAGUUGGAUGUGAAAACUCUGGGCUUAACCCAGAGCCUGCAUCCAAAACUGGCAAACUUGAGUACUGGAGGGGAAAGCGGAAUUCCUGGUGUAGCGGUGAAAUGCGUAGAUAUCGGGAGGAACACCAGUGGCGAAGGCGACUACCUGGCCUGUUCUUGACGCUGAGGCGCGAAAGCUAGGGGAGCAAACGGG
rnacentral:rRNA from 1 species